UACGGAGGGUGCGAGCGUUGUCCGGAAUCACUGGGCGUAAAGGGCGCGUAGGUGGCCUGUGGAAGUCUGCGGUGAGAGCCCGGCGCUCAACGCCGGGUCGGCCGUGGAUACUCUCGGGCUUGAGCUUACUAGAGGCAGAUGGAAUUCCGGGUGUAGCGGUGGAAUGCGUAGAGAUCCGGAAGAACACCGGUGGCGAAGGCGGUCUGCUGGGGUAAUGCUGACACUGAGGCGCGACAGCGUGGGGAGCAAACAGG
rnacentral:rRNA from 1 species